AACGAACGCUGGCGGCAUGCUUAACACAUGCAAGUCGAACGCACCUUUCGGGGUGAUUGGCAGACGGGUUAGUAACGCGUGGGAAUCUACCCUUCUCUACGGGAUAGCUCCGGGAAACUGGAAUUAAUACCGUAUACGUCCUGAUGGAGAAAGAUUUAUCGGGGCAGGAUGAGCCCUCGUUGGAUUAGCUAGUUGUUUGGGUAAAGGCCUACCAAGGCGACGAUGCAUAGCUGGUCUAAGAGGAUGAUCAGCCACAUUGGGACUGAGACACGGCCCAAACUCUUACGGGAAGCAGCAGUGGGGAACAUUGGACAAUGGGGGCAAGCCUGAUCGAGCCAUGACGGGUGAGUGAUGAAGGCAGUAGGGUAGUAAAGCUCUAUCAGUGGGGAAGAUAAUGACGGUACCCAAAGAAGAAGCCCCGGCUAACUUCGUG
rnacentral:rRNA from 1 species